rnacentral:rRNA from 1 species
GACGUAGGGCGCGAGCGUUGUCCGGAUUUAUUGGGCGUAAAGAGCUCGUAGGCGGCUCGUUGCGUCGGCUGUGAAAACCCACAGCUUAACUGUGGGCCUGCAGCCGAUACGGGCGAGCUAGAGUUCGGUAGGGGAGACUGGAAUUCCUGGUGUAGCGGUGAAAUGCGCAGAUAUCAGGAGGAACACCGGUGGCGAAGGCGGGUCUCUGGGCCGAUACUGACGCUGAGGAGCGAAAGCGUGGGGAGCGAACAGG